CAGUAUUGAAGCUUGAUUAGAAGGGCGGAAGGUGAGGGUGAGGGUUAAAUUAGAGAUAUGGUUUCAGCCAUCAGCAGAAGAAGUGGAAGAAAAACAAGGGAUUCGGUUGGUUGAUGUGAAGUGUUUUUCGCCCACACAAUAAAGCUGAAGUGUUGUUUUCGGCCAACACAGAAAAGAAAGGACAGGAGAGACGUGCCAACAAAAUGGUCCAAUAAACGUUAAGGAUAGCCAGACUGUUAGAAAUGACUGCUCAUUACAACCAAGAGACGGCAUUGGUAUUUGCCUGCUGCACGGCUAUAUAUAUUCCUACCUCCAAGGCCUGGAUUCAUUUUCAAUCUUAUAGUUUGUGCCCAACGCACAAUGGAG
rnacentral:lncRNA from 1 species